UAAGUAGAUAGUGAAAUCUGGUGGCUCAACCAUUCAGACUAUUAUCUAAACUGCUCCGCUCGAGAGCGUUAGGGGUAGCUGGAAAUUUUCUAGUGUAGGAGUGAAAUCCGUAGAUAUUAGAAAGAACACCGAUGGCGUAGGCAGGCUACUGGGACGUUUCUGACACUAAGGCACGAAAGCGUGGGGAGCAAACGGGAUUAGAUACCCCGGUAGUCCACGCUGUAAACGAUGGAUACUA
rnacentral:rRNA from 1 species